GACUUGUCAGCUUUGAUUAAAAAAGAACAAUUUAGCUAAAAGCCUGAAAUGUUCCUGUCACCUGGCUAUUUGAUGAUAAAGUCUUUUACUCAUAAGUCAAAUGAAUCUGUAGUUACAGAACAAGUAUGCUUGAGCAGUAGAAAGCAAGUUGAAUGCAGUUACUUUUGUCUUUAUUGUUGAUUAAUUUAGUCAUGAAUAAGAAUAAACAAUAGUUUGCAGCUUAUGGGAAAUUCUCACAUGACAUUUGGAACUAUAGU
rnacentral:lncRNA from 1 species